UGGUAUGGUGUUCAGUGCAGACUCGACCAUGGAGAACCUUAGCACCUAAUCAGACCUCCAAGCUGGGGGUAAAGAUGCCCUCCUGUAAUUCUGGCAAUAGGAAACUGAGGCAGGAAGAUUGCCAGUACAAGACCAGUGGGAGCUGGGUAGUGAAACCUUGUCUCAAAAGGAUAAAAGUAAAACCACACUGCGCUUAGUGGUACACACUUUUAGUCCCAGCGCUGGGGAGGCAGAGUCGGAUGGGUCUUGUUGAGUUCAAGGCUAGCCUGGUCUACUUACUGAGUUCCAGGGCAGAGAGGGCUGCAUAGUGUGAUCAUCUCAAAAAAGAAAAACAGUUGUUGGGGACGGCGGUUGGAAAGAGACCUCCUCUGAUAAAAGUCUUGCUUCCUUUGCAUAGGAUGCAGGUUAGAUUCUCAGCAGCAACAUGGCGGCUCACACCUGUCUGUAACUCCAGCUCUAACGCCAAAGGAGGCUACAAGCGCAGGAAAAAAUAUGGCAAACAGAGAUGGCUCAGUCAGUAAAGUUGUGAGACCUUUCUGGAAUGUGAACUCUGCUGCCAAUGAGCGUGGGAGAGAAGAGAUAUCAUAGACUGAAGCCAGGAUGGCUCCAGAAAGGCUUCGAUCCCAGGGAUUCCUACUCCUGGGAUUCAUAGCAUAGCCAGUGUAAUCAUACUGGCAAACCUCAGCCCCAGUGUACUGGCUAGUUUUGUGUCAACUUGACACAGCUUGACUCUCAUGGUCACCUCGGCCAUUCGAAGGGAGCUCAGCAGUCCAGCUGGAGCCUUAUGCUUCCCAGUUCCAGAGACUUUCAGUGGGCUGAGAGACCAGGAAGUGGCAGCCUCUCCAGACCACCUGGAGACCUGGUAAAGAAGAUCUCACUGGGGCCUUCAGAAAUAUAGUGGGACUCUAUGGAAUAAGUACUCCUACACUGUUGUGUGUUCCUGAUGCUGUUUGAAUUCUGAUAUUCUGCUUCCCCAAGAGAGGUUCUGCCCAACCAGCAGUCAAUCUCAUGCGAUCUCAUGUGAACCUUCUCCCAUUCUAUCUGGUCAAUAAAGCCUGUGAUU
rnacentral:lncRNA from 1 species